CCUACGGGGGGCAGCAGUGAGGAAUAUUGGUCAAUGGACGAGAGUCUGAACCAGCCAUGUAGCGUGAAGGAUGACUGCCCUAUGGGUUGUAAACUUCUUUUAUCUGGGAAUAAAACGUUCCACGUGUGGGAUUUUGUAUGUACCAUAUGAAUAAGGAUCGGCUAACUCCGUGCCAGCAGCCGCGGUAAUACGGAGGAUCCGAUCGUUAUCCGGAUUUAUUGGGUUUAAAGGGAGCGUAGGUGGGUUGUUAAGUCAGUUGUGAAAGGUUGCGGCUCAACCGUAAAAUUGCAGUUGAAACUGGCAGUCUUGAGUACAGUAGAGGUGGGCGGAAUUCGUGGGGUAGCGGUGAAAUGCUUAGAUAGCACGAAGAACUCCGAUUGCGAAGGCAGUUCACUGGACUGCAACUGACACUGAGGCUCGAAAGUGUGGGUAUCAAACAGGAUUAGAUACCCUAGUAGUC
rnacentral:rRNA from 1 species